AACGAACGCUGGCGGCAGGCUUAACACAUGCAAGUCGAACGGGCGUAGCAAUACGUCAGUGGCGGACGGGUGAGUAACACGUGGGAAUGUGCCUUUCGGUUCGGAACAACUCGGGGAAACUCGUGCUAAUUCCGGAUACGCCCUUACGGGGAAAGGAUUAUCGCCGAAGAUCAGCCCGCCGUCCGAUUAGCUAGUUGGUGAGGUAAAGGCUCACCAAGGCACCGAUCGGUAGCUGGUUUGAGAGAACGACCAGCCACACUGGGACUGAGACACCGGCCCACGACUCCUACGGGAGGCAGCAGUGGGGAAGUCUUGGACAAUGGGCGCAAGCCUGAUCCAGCCAUGCCGCGUGAGUGAUGAAGGCC
rnacentral:rRNA from 1 species